AGCUCCAAUAGCGUAUACUAAUGUUGUUGCAGUUAAAAAGCUCGUAGUCGGAUUUCAGAACAAAUUUCGGUCCUCGGAUCUAUAAUCUGUUCUUCUUUGACAUGUGUCGGUUUGUUAUUGAUUUAAUGAAUCGUUCAACUGUCUCUUUUACUUUGAGAAAAUUUGAGUGUUCAAAGCAGGUUUUGCCCUGAAAAUUACUCUUGGAAUAAUAAUAUAGGACUCUGGUUCUAGUUUGUUGGUGAUCUAGUGCCGGAGUAAUGAUUAAUAGCAACGGUUGGGGUCAUUCGUACUGCAAAGCGAGAGGUGAAAUUCUUGGACCUUUGUAUGACGAACAACUGCGAAAGCAUUUGACUAGGACGUUUGCG
rnacentral:rRNA from 1 species